rnacentral:lncRNA from 1 species
AAGCUAUGCCAACCCCAAAAUUCAUAAAAGGUGUUUUUACCUAAACCAGCAACCCCCCGAAAAUCCGACAGCUCGGAAGCCAUUAGCAGGCUGUUGGGAGACAGUGGAGACGUUGCCUCACUUGUAAAGAAAAUGAACCGAUGUCUGUUAGACCAACGAUGUAGGAAGAACUACGAGCGCAUAUGGAGAUUUGGCCUCAUUUCUUGAUUAAUCUCAAAACAUCACCAACGAGAUGCAAGGAACCAGUUACAAGGACCUAAUCAAUCAAGAUAAGGGAAUUAUAAAACCCAAGAGAAACACAAACGAAGUGAGAGUUGUAAGCAAUAAAGAAAAGAAAAAGCUACAACUGAACCACAACCUCGAUGCUUUUUCACUAAGACCAAGGAGUAUAGGAAUAUACCUAUAGGCUAUAGUUAAGUUUUUGCCGAGUUCUCCCUACUUAGGUUGACACUCAUAUUCAACACAUAUUCGGACAUGGGUGUUGGAUAUGAUGCUCUAAAUAUAUGAAGAACUUUUGAAAAUUGAGUAUAUCUGACAUUCCCCGAUCAGGUACUUUUCUGACAAAUUAUUCACUAAGCCUAACCAAUUAUUCCCAAGACAGUAGGCUACAAGUAUUAUACUAAAGACCCAGCAAUUUAAUCGACACAAAUAUCAACCACCAUAAAAGACAACUCACAGGAGAUCAUCCAUACUUUACUCUCAAUUCAAUAAUAAAAUAAUGUUUCAGAGGAACAAGAGCCACUCAAUGGCUCGAUUCAUGAAUAAUCCUACACGUUCCAAUAUACUGUAAGGUUUUACAAGCUACACUUUCAACCACCACAUCAAAACAAAGUUAGAAUGCUAAGUUCUGAGAAUAUAUCCAGGAACUCGAUGUAAAGUACUCUAACCUUGUUAUAUAUAAGAGGCAGGCAAAUAUUUGCAACAGCAAGCUUAUAAUCUCAAGCAAAUAUAAUCCACAAAACACAACCAUUACCUGAAAACAAACAAAUCGAUCCUUCUGGGCAGUAUCCCUGAGCCAUUUGAUAGCUGAUGGUAGAGAAGAAAAAACAGAACUGUUUUUAAAACUCGUAACCCUCAUUCCUGUAUCAUCUUUCACUUCUUCACAAGCUUGGUCCGUGUUACUGGGCUCCACUCCUAGUAUAUGAAAUAACCAAUCAUUAUAAACUAAACCGAACUAGAGCACCCUUAGUUAUGCUCCAUGUCCACAAUAAAUUUGCACAUUUUGUGAUGAUCAUAAUUAAAAUCAGUUCACUUAUAUCAUCAAGCAGAAAAAGGGAUUUGAAUCCCAAGGAAGUAAAUCCCAUUGGAAAUCAAAAUAUGGGGAAAAAACUUGAAACAUUAUGCGAUGAAAAGGCUGCAGACUUAAUUAUUUUAAAAUUACAAAUUCAACAUAACUCACAAACUAUGAAUUUUGGAAAAUAAGAAGAAUGCGAUGCCAUGCAUUAGACUGGUACCUUUAUCACUCUGCAUAAGGCUUUCCCAUGCGCUUUGAAGAGCAAAUUGCCAUGACAAAUCAACUUGAGGAUCAACUGUGGGUAAAGCCCGGGAUCCAACCUUGUGAUACACGGAUAUGUUUGGCACAAACAGAGCCUUCAGGAAGCAGACACCUGAAGUAUCAAUUACAAGAUUUUAGACUAAAACAGUGCAAUAAAGAAUUAAAGCACCUGAACGUAACCAUUCCCCUAAAACACCAGAUCUUUCAUGAACUUCAAAAGCAUUUACAAUGCUUUCCAUCAUAUGGAUGUAAAAUUCUAUCCAUGAGAACAUAUCUAAACAUGCCUCUAACUCAAGUAAUCACCAUGGCUGGCACAUGUCCUCAUCAAGCGAGGCAGAAGCAACUGAGGAUCUCGCACUGACAUACAAUUGAAUAGCAGAAUCUGCAAGUAAUUCUCAAAAGCUUAAGUUCAGUAUCAUCAAGAUGCAGCCCAAAUCUAUCGUACAGCUUAAAGUUUAGAAAAGCACGGAAAUAUAAAUAAGGUGUGCAUGAAUGUAUAUUUGAAAAAAGUAGCAACAGUUUUCAGCCAGAUGCUCAAGGAAUUAUCAAAAUAUACAUUUACUUUUGCCUCAAGUUAUGUUUGAGCUUUAUAAACUCAAUCAUCAAAUUUCUGAAGCUUUCUGAAAAACCAAAUAGCCUCCUAGGUUUAGAUUAUCCUUCAUACUAUUACUCAUAAGCAAAAUACAAGUCAGCACCAAACUCCACGUGUUUGAUUGCUUCUUUUGACUUGCUAAAAUAGAAAAGGUUGAACAGUGGAUAUAAUGAGAUCAAAACAAAACUGAUGUUUGUAAGGACAGAGUACUCUCAAUUACGUCUAAGUUUUUAAAACUGUGGAAAAGAGCAGGGCACUCUACCUGGGCAGUAUCCUUCUUAGAUCCUUCAUCCAUAUGCUGCUGUGGCUGAUAAUUCAGGUUAGAUAGGUGAUUAUCAUCCCUCGUGCAAAGAGAAAACCACCUUGCACAAGCUUCCAUGCUUUCAGGACUGUGGGCUCCAUCCAAAUAAAAAACCAGAUUUCCAGGGCUUUCAAUGUCAGGGACAAUCUGAGCCCGCCCUUGCAAACUUGCUGUGGUUAGGCCCAUAAUAAAUGGUUCAGGUAAUGGACCCUAUUCCCAGGAAAUAAACAACUUUUAAGCAAAUGGAAAUUGGAAUGCAGAGAAAGUCUUCAAUAAAUAGAACCUACUGUUUGAUUGAAAUUGAUGAUAGGAUGACCAGUCCUCCGAAUCCAAGUAGAACACAGUGCAACAGCAAGACCAGCAUUCAAAUAUUGAUGUUCACCUUCAAGUGCAAGUUUUAGACCAUUCAGCAAAUUCGCAUCUAGUGGAUGUGCUACUUGAAGGUUUACCUGUUAAGGACAUAAUUAUAUUCAUGUCCUUUAGAACAAGGCAAUAUCCAGAAUUUGAAUACAAGUUGAGUCAUGCAUUCAAGUUCUUUGCAUCAGGAAACUCAGAAAUGGAAGUGUUAUGCAUACAUUCAACUUUGAAGCUCAGGAAACUCAGAAAUGGAAGUGUUAUGCAUACAUUCAACUUUGAAGCUUUCUCUUCAAGCACAUGCAUAGCCUCAUCAGCCUGAGGUACAGUAAAGGCAGGGAUUUCAUGCUGCAUCAGAAAAAGUACUAACAUAAAGGUUUUGCUCGAUAAGAUGGAAAGAAAAUUAGAAAGAUGAAAAAUUGGAGAAAAGCAGAAAAAUAGAAAAAACAUUAUUGCUUUCCAUUGGUAUGCUUGGUAGGAAAGACAGAAAAAUGAAAUGAAAAAUAAUUUUAUCUUCAUCCAUGGCUUGGUAGCGUUGGAAAAUGAAAAUUUAAAAAAAAAAAAAAGUACUUAAUCUUGUAAAUAUGCACACUUACUCGCAUCUCCUUGCUCUCUCUCCUCUUAUCAUUAUAAUUUGGAAUGAUAAGCUUUUAUGUAUUAGAAUAGAAAAUAAUCAUCUUUCCUAUUUUCUUUUCUUUCACUUUUAUUUCCUACCAAGCAAACACAAUUUACUUUCUUUUCACUUUCCCACUCUUCAUCCUCUACUUUUCCAUUCAACCAAGCACACCCAAGAAAAAGGAAAUAGAUCUAAAUUAUGUUGCAAAACUGGAACAGAGUCUUAUCAUAUGCUUUAAUCGACGUGGUUCUAAAAGUAAAAGCACCUUAAAAAUACCAGCCUUCGCCCCAGCAAUUUCUCCCAGAGUAUUUCCUGUUUAUGGCGUCCAAAAGAGGAAAGAAAGUAAUCUUUAGCAUUAGCUUUAAUUAUUCUGAAAGAAGCAAGUUAUUUUGAAAUACAUGGAUACACCAAAUGACAAAAUUCACAAGUAAUUACUCACGUAGCUCAGAAAGUUGGUAUAUAGGGGUAUUUUUUCAUUUAGUUCCGCAUAAUUUAGUUGUUCUCCGGUUAAUGAAAUCUCACAGAUAUGCUGGAAAUAUAGCUUUCAACAUUACGCUCAAAAAACCUUUGAUGUCACAAAUUUACUGCACAAUGUUAAAAAUAAUGGAACACAAAAUGAAAUCUUUGUUACUCAGAUAUCUUGAUCAAUAACUUUACAAAGAUAUUCAGAGAUCUUUCACUUAUAUUAAUUAUGAACGUUCAUGAGAAGUUAACUAAAGUUACAUAAUACUAACCAAGAAUCUCCAUGUGAUCAUACCCAAGGGAAGAUAUACCACAUACAAUAGGUUUUUUAACCUGAAAAAAAGACACAUUGACAAAAAAUUAGAACAAGAUAGGCAUUAGCUUUAUAUUCUAGCACCACAAUGGCCAGAAAUGAUAAGCUUAGCUUGGCAGAUAUGUAGAGUAUUUGUGAACAAAAUUAGAAAAAUACCACAUUGGUUGCAUCAAACCUUCCACCCAAACCAACCUCCAGAAUUGCAACGUCAACCUGCACAGACAAUUUAAAGACAAUUAAUAUUUUCACUUCAUAGCAGAGGAUGAUCAUGAAAUGGUAGAAGCAACAUGGGAACAGCUUCAUAUAGAAGGAUCAUAACACAUAUCAAACCUGCUCUGCUGCAAAUAUCUUAAAGGCAAGCAAGGCCAGGAAGCGAAAGUAUGUAGGCAUUGAACAUCAUCAUUGGUUUUUUCCUAUGAAUCAACGAAAAAAGUUAAGUAGGAUUAAACUCAUUGUUCAAAGGAAAAGCCCAAAAUAAAAGACAAUACUGUUUAUUCAAUGAUAAAUAUGGAACUGGACUCUGAGAGAAAUGAUACUGCAGAUGAUGCUGUUUCAAGCUGUCAAAAAGGCAGAGAGUCCAGGCAAGUCCAUGCGGACUAUUCAGGUUUGUUUGAAAUGCUAUACAACCCAAUUCUUAUUGCUUCUACUAGACUGAUUGGCUAGAGAAGCCCUAACUUCCUAUUGACCAUGCCAAAUUCUCAAAAAAGUAUCCCCGCCCCCCCCCCCCCCCCAAAAAAAAAAUUAAAAAAUAAAAAAAGGGUCAUCAUAUGCACCAUGCAUGACUAUUAGCUUUUAGUCUGAUGAUGCUUUGUUGAAGACAAAUACUAGGAGAAAUAAGUUAGCAAAUUCUAAUAAACAAUUUACGACUAAUUCUUGUACAAUACUAGUUGACGACAUAGGAAGUCCUUAUUGUAGAGCCAAAUACUUACUACUUAGGACAGACAAUAAUUGAUGUUAAAAAAAUUAAAAAACCAACUUAAUAACAUAGAGAAAGGCAAAUAAAAUUGUACAAGACCCCAGCAGGACGGAACCCUAGUGUGGAUGUACCUUCAGCCUAUCAUAGCACCACCAGAAAUAUUCCAAGAAUUUCUCCUCACUUAUUUCCAAACUGAAACAGCCAAGAAAGACAAGAAAUUAACAAUACUAUCAACACCUAAAAUUUUAAAUACUCAUAGAUAGCAGUAGUUAGCCAACAUUAACUAUAGAAAGCUUUAAAAAAUUAGACAAUAACUUAACUUACUAGAUAAGACCAAUUAAAUAGACAAACCACCCAUUCGAAACGCUUACCCAUCCAGUCGAAACCUUUCACGAACAUCAAUAAGAUGAGGAGAUGUGAAAAGUCCAGUUCGAAACCCACAAUUACGUAAUAUAGAUUCAGCAAACGUGCAUGUUGAUCCCUUUUCAAAUUUCCAAAUGAAGAGAGAAUCAGUAUAUCAAUUCAUAUGCUAUAUACAAACAGGAUAGAAGAUUUAAGUUACAUUGAAGCCAACUAGACCAAAAUAGCACCAAUGCCUAUAAGGCCGAGUGCUAAGGAGCUCGGUACCGGCAUCCGUUCAAGUCUUGCGGAAGGAGAAAAUAUGUAUUGGGGGAGUUUUCCCACCUCAGGGUUAACCCGACUUAACUCAGAAUAGUCGGGGCCAAUGUGACUACUGAUACCAGGUCUUAGACAAAAAAAAAAAAAAAAACUAGUAGAAAAUAGUGGCAAAUGCGAGGACGAAGCUACAGAUAAAUGCAGCAUACAAAAGCAAAAAAAAAAGAAACGGGAAAAGAUUCUUAAAGUUAAUUAGCUAAAAUUAAUGAGUUUCAGAGAAAGAAAAUUUUCAAUACCUUUCCUUUAGUGCCAGCAACAUGGAUGAUUUUCAACUGUGGAAUUGCCUCAUCCAGUUCCAAAAUCUAUAAUCCAUUCAACAAUCGGCUUAACUUUAAACUCUAAAAAAAUCAAUUUCUGAAAAUAACUCAAUCAAAGCAAAACCAAAUUACUUUCAAAUAAUCAAAGAGCAAGUCGUAGCCGCCCCCUUUAUUACUCUUGUCAGCACGGCUCUUUUUCGUUAUCAACGACGACAAGGCAUCCAACGUCGAUUGGUAUCGAUCCGCCGCAGACUCCAUCGAUCCUCCUACAAUAAAACAAAACAGAAAAUCAUAAAAACUGGGAAAAAAAACAGUUUUUCAAUCCUUUUUUUUUUUUUUUACCUUCGGCCAUUGGGAUAUUUUUUAUUUGGAUGGAUGAAAGGAUUGGGGAAAUGAGAGGAGGCGUUGAGAAGUGAAGACCAAGAGAUGAUGAGAUUGGGAUUGGGAUUGGCAUUGGGAUUGGAUUGGAGGGUUGAGCAAUUUUAAGGCAAGGAGCCACAUUCACCAAUAGCGACAUCGUUUUGUUUUUGUUUGUGGGUUGGUCGCAGACAAAGAUUCCCCACUUAUAAGCAAUCAACCUCUUUGUGCUAGAUAACGAUUAUAUAGGAUUUUUCCCUCCUAAAUUUUGCUUAUAGUAUUAGUAUGUUCCAUGAGUCAAGCCACUUCAAGCUGAUCAAAUGAAUCUCAUUUGAUUAGUUGACUUCUAUUAGACGUUUUAUGCAUAAUGAUAAUUUAAUCCACGACCCGUGACAUUAGAUCAUGUUUAUAAGUAAGAUAAUCUUAGAUAGAAAAUUUAAAUGCAAAUACUACAAAGGAGAAGUUGAAGGAACCUCAACUCUAGAUAUCAUCCCCAUACUCUAAACCUUGGAUCAUUUGAACCACCGCAUCUGAUCGAUUACUAGCCUAACAAGCGAAUAGGUCUAAACAAAAUUUUGUUGAUUGUGUUGAUAUUGUUGUGAGAUUGACGAUACCCCAAUGGCCUCAUCAUAAACUUUCUUAUGUUUGAUAUUCAAUGAUAGCUUUAAAAGAAUAAGUUAAACGACAACAUUCAAAAUUUAAAAGAACAAGUUGAUUAUCCAGACAAUAACCACAAGCCACUGCUAAGCAAUUUCAACUUGUCUUUUUCAUAUUUAAAACACAAAGAUUAAUAAACAAAUAAAUAAAAAGUUCAUUUCCAUAUUUAAAUUGAGCUAUUUCGAGAAGUUAAAUUGAGAGGUUUUUCAUAAUGAGCAGUGUAAUUCAUUAAUUAGAUAAUAUUUUUUAUUUUUUUUGAAAGGGAAAUUUAUUAAUUCAUUCAAUGAAUGAGACCAUAUAAUUCGGGAGAAUAACAAACACCCAUUGUAGGCGGUAAAGGACAAGCUCCAUCAACACAACAAAGGUUUUAACCUCAAAAUUAAUAAAACAUUAUGGCACUUUGACAAUUGGCUCUGUCACAACAUAUUUGGAAUGAUUGCAAGCACUUUAAUAUAAUAAGAAAAUUAGUCAUGGAUGCUCCAAAUCGACAGGCAUAAAUCGGCAAAAGAACUAAGCAUCCACCAAAUUAGAGAGGACGACGACAAAACUAACCUUAAAAUCACUCGCAAAAGCAAGAAUAAAAGGCGUACUCUAAGUGUAGACAAAAACUUCUAAAAGUGAAGACUUAUUAAAUAAUGGAAAAAUAAACCAAAAAACAUAUAAAACUUAAGACAUCACAGGUCUAAACCGACUCAUGAAAUCAUUUAUUAUUCUGAAAUACUCUCAAAACAAAAACAAAUUAAGAAGUCAACAAAGAGUCACCCACUUUCUAAAAGAAAUUGUCGGUGGUCGACAGUGUUUUAGCAAUAAUAGGCCUCAUCAUCUGUCCAUUACAACUUGUGAAGACAACAAAGAUACCCACAAAAUAGAUCUGCAAACUGAAAAGAAAGAAGUCACAUAGAGUGGAUGAUAAGAAAAAAAGAAAAAUAAGGUUAAUGGCCAGGAGAAAAAUAAGCAUUCUUAUGUCAUUUUCAUUCAUUCUUGGUCACUUUCCAAGCUUAAAAUUUCACUAAAGGUCAAUCUAAUUUACACAAGUUCAUUUUAACUUCACUUACAUAUUAGCAAAUUCCAUCUCUUCCUAUAUAUAUAUAUAUAUAAACACACACACGUGUGUGUGUGGGGUAUUUUCUUCAAAUUCUCCCUUGUUCUAUUGCCAGGCAGAUUAGACCUACUUCCACUAAAAUACAUUUAUCUUUUAGUGCAAAAUUUAUAUAAGAUUUUAUUUGUUUCUCUUAAAAAUAGACUCAUUAAUCAUUUCAUACAUAUAAAAUUUGUCUAUUAAUUAUUUUUUUAUAAUUCUUAAUGAAUUCUUAAAGUUAGAACAGGAGAGCUCAAAAUCAUUCUGACCUUAUCUCCCUAAAAUUAAUAUAUCUCAUAAUUUACAAUUCCAUUACUUACACAAUUUUUUUAUAUAAUACUAGACUCAAUAGGAUUUAAUUUCAUAUUUGUUUUAACCUCUAACUCAAUUUUUAAAUUUUUUUGUAAAAUUUCAAAUUUAAGCUACUGUUGCUAUCCCAGAAACUAUUUUAGUGAAAAUAUUUACUUUAUAAUCAUUAUACUUUUGAUUACUAUUCAAAUUAAUCAUUUAGAUUUAUAUGUUGAUAACAUAUUCAUUUACUUACCUUAAUACUUCUCAUAAUACAAAUUAUAUUUCUCACUUGAAAGCUUAGUGUUUUACAUAUCAUACUUCAUUAGUACUUUCUAUCUCUACUAUUUCAAUUAAAAUACACAUAUCAUACAUAUCAUUCAUAACAUUAUUUCAAUUAAAACUCAAUUCCAAACACCAAGUAUCAAUACCUGAUCCUUGGUAUUGGUACCUUGGGUCAAUUUUGCUCAAAAACAUUUGGAAAAUUUGUUUAAAACCCCCUACAAAGAGUUUGUACCAUUUCAACACUUAAAAACCAAUUCCAAAGAAGUUUAAAUCGAUUUAAAACAAUUCUAAUUCAACCAUAUAUGCAUGCAUACACUUAAACUCUUAACAAUUCAUUUCAACUAAUACAAAAGUAGUUCAUUAAAAUACCAAAAUAAGUUAAGUUCUUAAAAUUUUGCAAUUUAGUCCCUACCACUUGGAACACAUUCAGUUUACCUAUGUACAUAUAAUUCUAACUCAAAAUAUAAUACAUACUCUCUUGGAACUAAAGGAUGUGAUGAGAUGAGAAGCCCAUGACCUCAACUACGACUCAUCAGAUGCCACUAUACCUACGUGUUGAAAAUAAAUGUGUUAUGUCUGUGAAGACAUAGUACUAUAAGAAAUCUUUAAACAAUAAAAUUUCCAAAUUUGAAUAACAGACCUGUAUUCAACUUCUAUACGAUAAUUUAUGCUUAUAAUUAACAAUAAUCACCCCUUUUUAAUUUCAAUACUUAACUUAUUACGCAAAGCUACUCUUGUAGACCACAUUUCUUAUCAUUGCCCAAUGUAGGCUUAACAGAACAAUUUAGGACAUACAAAAUAAAUGUAAAAUUGCACUAAAGAACAUAAUUAGAUCAAUGGUGCACCAAAGUGUGAUAACAGAACAGUGGGCACCAUAAUGCUAAUUUGAAAAGUGAGCACUGUAGUGUGUAUUAGAACAUUGGGUGCACUAAUUAUCCUUAAUGGUAUGCCAUUUUUAUCCUAAUGGUUCUUAUUUUGUCUACAUGGGCUGGUCUUUUAAAUAUUCAAAACUAACAUUUAAACGAUGGAUAUAACAUAGCUUUCCAUAUUCACAAUUCAGCCUUUAUGAUCGCAAACAUUAUACAAUCUUGUAAAUUCAAUUACACAUUUAAUACUAGUAACUUUAGUAUAUAAAUUAGUACUUGAACUCUUCUCAUAAACUCUACAUUGGUUUUUACUACACAUAAUAUUAAUAUUUUUAAAUUCAAUCUAACUAUUAACAUAAUUUAUAAUUAAACCCUAACUAAACAUAAAUAAAUUCUUGAAGUACUUACAACAAAAGCUUGGAUGGUGGAUUUUACUUUUCCUUAACCUUCUCAUUUCCUUUUCCUUUUCGUUCAAUUUGAUCUUUUCAUUUCUUUUUUUUUUCUUCAAUUUCAAAACAAACAUAUAACAUUUAUAUGUUAAACAACAUAAUCAAGUAAUUUUUCUAUGUUAUUUAAUAGAAAUAAACACGUAUGGCAUGAAAGUUUCAUCAUCUCUUACAUUAACCCCUUGAAAUUGAAAACCCAAUUCUUACUUUUUCUCUCAUUUAUCGCUUCUAUGGAGACUCCUUUCCUAAAACUAAGGUACCCACUAGUCUUCUAUAUUGUUUUUACUAAAGAAACACCAAAGGAAAGGAAGGUUUUGAGCUUAGAUUUGAUCAACAACGGUGGAAGGACUUAAAUAGAAUAAAAAAGAAAGUUUGAUAACCAUGAAAUGGAGGUGACAUUUGAAUUCUAAAAAGAUGAAGAAUCUUUCAUCUUUUCUUCACUUUUCUACACAGUUCUACAAAAAUAUCACAUCAUUUUUACAUAAAAUUUUCGAAUUGCUAAUAAGUCCUCUAGUCAUCCAUCUUUACACUUUACCCCCUAAUCAUUAUGCCUAUAAAUAUCUACUUAACCAAUUACCAUUUUACCCUUAAUCAUCUUUACAAUUCCAUGUAUGAAUCAUAUUUUUUCUUGGUAAAAUUUCCUAUUAGUCCUUCCUUGUUUUUCCACAUUUUCCAUGUUUUCUCAUAACUUUCUAAUUUCAUACUUUCACUACAAUAAUUUCUAUACUAUUUUAAUUUAUUCAAUGCUUCUAUUCAAAAUUUUCCUAUCUAAGGAGUAUUACCUAAUUCCCUAUCAGGUCUAAAUACUUUCUAAUUUCACACUCAAAUUUCCUAUUUGUUCUAUUUAAAAAAAUUCUCCACUAAUUCUUGACUCAAUACAUCAUUGUACCUAGCUUCGAGCCAAAACAUGACCUUUACAAGCUUACUACAAGUGUGACAAACCAGUUGUAAUAUUUAUAAGUGUUACAAUGGAGCACUUCGAGUAUUCUAAAGAUCGAACCUAAGGGAUUGCCAAAUUGAUAAAUGUGUUUAUCAAGUUAAUUGCAAGUUAAGCAAUUACUAAUCUAAUCAAGUCAAAAUUAUUUGUGCGAAUUCCAAAAUAAUUUGUUUAUAAACUAAAUUUAAAUUAUCAAUUAAAAAAAUUAAUCUAAUUUUCUUCCUUAAUGUUUUAGAUAAUGAAAAUCAUAAAACGAUGGUCAAUUGAUUCAUUACUCGCUAACUUGUAAUGAUGACAAGUUUCAACAAAUUUGUGGAUUCAGACACCACCAUAAGAUAAUACUUCUCAAAAUGUAAAAACAUAAUGUUUCGUUCUUUGAUGACUUUGUUACUGGUUACAUUCUCCCAUCUUUUUUGGAUAAGAAUAUUGAAAAUUUCUAGUGGCUUUACCUUACUAAACUCUUCAUGAACCUCUCAAAAUUCUUGGAAUGAAUAUACGUGUAACGACCUGAUUUUCAGUGGUACCAAAAAAUGUGAUUUCGAAACACCAUUUUCAUAAACCGAGUCUGUAAACAUAAAAUAGGAAUAUUUACGAAGUUAAUAUGUGAACAUAAUAAAGAAUGAUUAGGUCAGGUAAGGGGUGUUACAGUAUAGGCCUAUUGCUCUUUCAUCGAUCUUUUACUUUUCUUUUGCCUUUACCCAUGCAUGUAAUUGGGCAAGUGUCUCACUUGCUUCUUCAAUUUUAAAAAUUGAUUCUUGGUCCGAAGAGUCAUAAUCUUCUUCUUCAGAUUUAUUUGUUGGUUCCUUCGACAAUUAUUGUUCUUCUUCUUGUAAUGAGUCAGAAUCUUAGUCGAAGGUGGAGGAGUUGUUUUCGAUUUCAACAGUAGUUUCCAUAUCUUUUGCUACAUUACAGGUUUGCUUAAUUUGGGCAAGAAUAGCAUCAAUUUUUUUAAGGGAGUAGUAGAUGAGAGAAGUACCUGAAGAGUCUUAGCCUCUAUUUUGGCAACGAAACAUUUCGACGAAGAGGGGUGGGCAGAGCUUUGACCUCCUGUGGUAGAUCGUCAACAACUUUGAUGGGUGAUCUUAGGGACUUUCUGGGUUUCCUUUGUGCUGAAAAUUUCACCCUUGCCAUCUUUUCACCAAGAAAACACAGCAAAAAUAGAGAAGAAAAAAAAUAGAGAAGCAGUAGAGAUGAAGAACAAUAAUGGUGAAGAUUAAAUACCAAAAAAUGGGUCUUUUCUUAUGUUUUUUGUAAAGAUAUCAGCCAAUUGUGAGAUAUAUUUUAACUAUAUCAUCUUGUUCUCAAUGAGUUCCCAAAUUAAAGUGAUGUUGAAUCUAGAUAUGCUUUGUAAUGCCUCUAACUCAAUUCGAUUCGCAAGAUCCGGAUCUCAGGUGUUACUGUACGAAACUUUUAUCUUUAACGAAACACUUGAAAAACUUUCUUGUUGAACAUAUUUUUCUCAUUAAUUUAAAAACUAAUAGUCUUAUUAUUUAAGAACACAAAAUAUAUUAUUACAAAUUAUUACUUCAGAUUUAAUACAACACUUAACAAUAUUGAUGUUAUUGAAAGACAGACUAAAAGGGCGCGAUCCUAACUACUACACACUCUCGUUGUAUGCAUAAUAGCCCACUUCGCCACUUUCUUGGCACAGUCUUGGUGUUGUUUCUCCAGACGUAGUCUUUUAGCAUUCAAACCUGAAACAUAGUUACACACAAAUAAGUUCUUAGGAACUUAAUGAAGGAAAACUCAGAUUUACCUUCUAAAAGGAUGAUAUACAGAAUCUGAUAGCCCAUUUUUUCCAUCUACUCUUUCUUUAUCACAAGUUUACACUUUGGAGAGUACCAUACCCUUCUCAUACUCAUCCAUAAAUGCCAACUAGUACACUCUUAAUCAUGCCCAUUUCUUUUUAUCUACCGGCCUCAAACUUUCUAGGACAUUCUCUAAUCUCUUCUUGAUCACGAUUCCAUACAAAUUCUUUUGAAGAGAAGUAUGUAUAAGCUAUCUCUUCAAACUCAACUAUUAGUUAUUAGCAAAUACAUACAAUCGCCACAUUCCCAUUCAAACUCAACUAUCAACAGAUUGCCGAAGCAAUCCCUAUCCAGCUUAUUCUUAAUACCAAAUCAUAUUGUCAGAACUUCACCUAGGAUAGUUUGAUAGUAUUCCUUUGUAUUCAAUAAUUCAGAGUCAUUCACAUUCCAUAAUAUUUCAAAGUAAAUCAGAACACAACAAAAUGGUGGAUAACCUUUCAUACACACAAAUUCAUACAUUUUAUUCAAUAGCAUCUCUUUUAGUCUCAUUCAACUACAAAUCAAUUCUAUUUCGCUCAUUUUCAUUUUGAUUAUAUAUAUGUUGAACUUAUCAUUUCAAAAUCACAACUUAUAUUGUACUUAGUACACGGCGGACAAUCGCUUUGCGCUAUGUUAUUUUAGUUGAGCAUGCUAGAAAGCCAAUCAGAAUACCCCACAAGACUUCUUAUAGAAUACGUUAGAAAAUAUCAUACUGAAUGUGCCAUAACGGUUUCAUACAAAUUAUGCCAUAAUGAUUUCAAAUAGAAUCAUGUGUUUACGAUCCAUUUAUACAAUCAUUUCAUAUCCUUCCAAGGGUCAUAACUUAUGGUUUACGUUUACAUUCAUGUAUUACGAUCUACCAUUUCGAUUGAAAUAUAUCGAAGGCUACACCAUGAACAUACAUGUCAUUUCGUAUCAUAUCAUUUCAUAUCCUUGUAUCUCACGGACUCAGCCACAUAGACUUACACACAUUAUUUAUCACGGCCUACCAGUUCAAUCAUUAAUAUACUGAAGACAACACCAUGAGUGUUUUCAUACCUUAAGGUGUCAUGGGUCAUAACCACAUGGUUUUUCAUUUCACUCAUACCGUGACUUGCCAAUUUGGUUAGCAGGAAUUGCCCUACUAGAGGCAUCACAAAGAGACUUCGGCAUAAUAAUCACUUACCAAAACUCAUACACAUAUCAGAUAAUUCCUUACCUUCCAAUCUCGAGCUGUACUUAAACUAAUAAAUAUAUACAUCAAUAUCAAUCUAUUUUGACAUAAUUGCAUUCAUAUAGUCGUGUACAUAUUACAUUCUUACCAUACUUUUCAUGAAUACCGAAUUGUAAUUUGGUCACUUUCAUAUAGGUACACUUUUUAUUUAAACAUUUCGUUAUAAAGAGCCAGUAUAGAGAGUCGUCUGACACUCACAUACAACAGCUUGAACUUCAGACUCACACAUUCAUCAAGAAACAACAACAACCACUGCUAACAGAACAUAUGAACACCAUUAACCAUCAACUCAAGCACAGACAACCCCCAUGUAAAGCCUUAUUUCUUCAUCUUACUGUUCAUGCGCCCAUACAAACUUAAUCUUUCAAGGUGUGACAUGCUUUGUGUGAGAGUGUAGCAUCAGGUUCAAAAAAUAUUGUUUGUGCUUAUAUUUUCACAAUACACCAUUAGAACAUAGGUUGGAACGUGAUAGUCCUGAAGAAUUUGUUUCACCCAAAUGAUUUGGGUGUAGCAACUUCUGGCUGCUAUAUAUUCGGCUGCAGCUGUUGAGAGGGAGAUAAAAUUUUAUUUCUUGCUAUGCCACGACACAAGGUUAUUUCCCAAAAGGAAACAUCCUUCGAAGGUACUCUUUCGGUCAUCAACACUACCGAACCAAUCCACAUCGUUAUACCUAACGAGAGCCAUGUUUGUAUCCUUAGUGAACCAAAACCCAUAAUCGAUAGUGCCCUUCACAUAUUAAAUAAUUUAUCUCACUACUUUAAGAUGUGAUUCUUUCAAGUUAACUUAGAAGUGAUCACAUAUACCAACACUUUGACAAAUAUCUAGCCUAAUAGCCGUCAAAUAGAGUAAGCUUCCGAUAAUGCUUCGAUACAUUGUACUGUCAAUUGAGACACCCUAAUUGCUUAUACCAAGCUUUUCACUUGAUCCAAUGGGAGCCCGAGCAUUCUUGGCUUACUUUAAUUUAAUUUUUUUCACCAUGUUAGCUGCAUAUUUUUCUUAAUUUUAAAAUAUACCCCAAUUUAGCUAUUCAACUUGUAGACCAAGAAAGUAUGUGAGUUCUCUAACCAUGCUCAUCUUGAAAUCAAAUUUCAUGAGUUGAACAAACUCAUUCCUUGCCUUUUCUGAAUUUGAAUCGAAAAUAACAUUGUCAAUAUAAAUCUGAACAAAAAUCAUAUCCUUCGCGCCUUUCCUUAUGAAUAGAGUUUUAUCCAUGCUUCCUCGAACAUAACCUUGUUAUACCAAGUUCUUGGAGCUUGUUUUAGCCCGUAUAAUGCCUUUGACAGUUUGUACACAUAGUCCAGAUAGGGUGGAUCAAUAAACCCUUUAGUCUACUCGACAUAAACCUCCUCAUUGAGCCAUCCAUUCAGAAAUGCACUUUCAACAUCCAUCUGAAAAUAUUUUAUGUCAAGGUAGCAAGCAAUAGAUAAUAAAAAACAGAUUGAUUCUAACCUUGCCACUGGAGCAAAUAUUUCAUCAAAAUCCACUCCUUCAACUUACAUGUACCCUUGAUCUACAAGAUAAGAUUUAUUCCUUGUGAUCACUCCAUUCUCAUCAAUCUUGUUCUUGAAGAUCCAUUUGGUACAUGUUAUAUUGUACUCUGUUAGUCGUGGUUCAAGUGUCCACACUUCAUUUCUAACAAACUAUUGUAACUCUUCCUGCAUGGCAGCUAUCCUGUGUUCAUCUUGUAAAACCUUCUCUACUCUUUUAAGUUCCAAUGUUAACACAUAGCACCCCAUGCUGAUCAUCUCUUGAAAUUUAUUUUCUUUCCUCGAGUUUUUCUACUGUCAGCAAUACCACCAAUAAUAUAUUCGGGAGGAUGAUUCUUUAAUACAUUGGUUGGAGGGUUCAACUUGUACCCCUCAUUUACUUCAACCUUAAGACACUUUGUUUUUGUUCCAUCUGUUCAAAGGUGGCAACAACAGCAGCUACAUGCAAGAAACCAUGGAAAGUGCACGUUGCAUGAAGAGAACCAAAAAUCCAGCCAAUGCAUGCUAGUGUCCAUGGUCUAAUUCGACAGUAGCAUGUUUUAUUUUGUUGACUUUUGAUAGUUAAUGUUGUAAUCAUUUUAUACUUUAGUCAGCUAAGAUUAAUUGUGUGCUUAGCUUAUUUUGUUGCCAUUUUAGGUUAUCAUUAAGUUGAUGUAAACCUUUUGACACUUGCACAAGCAAGUUUUGUUUUCUUUCUAUGUAUUUUUGAUCUAUUUAUGUAUGCAACUAUGCUCUUAUUCGGGUAAUGAGAAAAUCACUUGGCUCAUUCAACUUUCUCUUAUUUUUUGCUUCUGUUUUAAUCUUAAAACACCUCAGCAAUCGAUUUUAGUUAUUUUUAAACUUUGUUUCUCAGUUAAAAACCAACAAAUGGUAUCGAGAGCUUGUUGUCUUUGAGGUCCUCUUGUUGUGUGCUGUGUUUGUUGAAGCUAAGUGCUUGAAAGAAAAGAAACAGGAUCUAUCCUUGUUGCUCGGUGUUUGGAAGCUGCGUGAAGAUGAGCUUUUCACCACCAACUCCACCUGUGUUCGCUGGUGAAAGUUACAAUAUAUGGGCUGUAAAAAUGAAAACAUACCUACAAGCACAUGACCUGUGGAAUGUUGUUCAAAAUGAUACAGAGCCACCACCUUUGAGAGCUAAUCCAACAAUAGCUCAGAUAAAGCAGUAUAAUGAAGACUGUGCAAAGAAGUACAAGGCCAUGUCAUGCCUUCAAAGUGGAGUUUCAGAUGUUAUCUUCACAAGGAUAAUGGCUUGUGACAUACCAAAGGAGGCCUGGGACAAACUCAAGGAGGAGUUUCAAGGUUCAGACAAAACCAGGCAGCAACAACUCAUCAACUUGAGAAGAGAUUUUGAGAAUCUGAGUAUGAAAGACUCAGAAACCAUCAAGCAGUAUGCUGACAGAAUUAUGGCUACUGUUAACAACACAAGACUGCUUGGGGAUGACUUCAGUGAUCAGAGGGUAGUGGAGAAAGUCAUGACAACCCUGCCAGAGAAGUAUGAAUCAAAGAUUUCUUCCUUGGAGGACUCGAGGGACUUAUCAGCCAUUCCCUUAACAGAGCUGAUAAAUGCUCUCUAUGCACAAGAGCAAAGAAGAGCAAACAGAAUGGAGGAGUAUUCUGAAGGUGCUUUUCAAGCCAGGAGUAGAGAGAGCUCAAGCUCGAGCUCGAAUCACAAAGGCAAGAAGCCUUGGUCAGAAAAGAAAGAAAGAGGGAAGAAGGAAGCUGCCAAGAAGAAAUUUCCACCUUGUGUUCACUGCAAAAGAACAACUCACCUUGAGAAAUAUUGCUGGUACAAGCCUGAUAUUCAGUGUAGAGGCUGCAAACAGCUAGGCCAUAUUGAAAAAGUGUGUAAAAAACAAACCAAAAGCUCAGUCACAGCAUCAGAACCAAACUCAAGCUGCUAAAGACAUCGAGGCACAGGAAGAACAUGUCUUCACAGCCUCUUGCUUUGCAAGCUCGAGCAAAGUAAGUAAGAUUUGGCUGAUCGAUAGUAGAUGCACUCAUCAUAUGGCUUCAGAUGAAAGUAUGUUCAAGGAGCUUGACACCUCUUUUGAGUCCAAUGUCAGAAUUGGAAAUGGUGAGCUUCUCAAGGCCAAAGGCAAGGGCAAGGCAGUAAUUUGCACCAAGUCAGGUAUUAAAACUAUUUCUGAAGUUAUUUAUGUACCUGACAUUAACCAAAAUUUGUUGAGUGUUGGUCAGCUACUGGAGAAAGGUUAUUCUCUUCUGUUUGAAGGCAAAAUUUGUACAAUUAAAGAUGCUACUGACCAAGUGCUAGUAACAGUAGCUAUGCAAGACAGAACUUUCAAUGUAGAUGUGAAUCAGUUGCAAGCAAGAGCAUAUGCAGCUCAAAAUGAUGAGGCAAGCUUGUGGCAUAAAAGAAUGGGGCAUGUGAACUACAACUCACUCGGGCAAUUGCAAAAACUGAAUCUGGUUGAAGAAAUGGCCAAGUUCGAGCCAAGGAAAGAAGCAUGUGAAGUCUGUCAGCUUGGCAAGCAGACCAGACUGUCUUUUCCAGUUAACAAGGCAUGGAGAGCCCAGGAGAAACUUCAGUUGGUUCAUACAGACAUCUAAGGACCAAUGAAGACUAGCUCUCUAAAUUGCUGCAGGUAUUUUGCCCUGUUCAUUGAUGACUACACAAGGUUUUGCUGGGUAAGCUUUCUGAAACAAAAGUCAGAUGUUACUGACUUUUUUUUGCAAGUUCAAAGCUUUAGCAGAAAAUCAAGCCAACUGCAAGCUUAAAAGCCUAAGGUCAGACAAUGGAGCUGAGUAUGUGUCUCAGAGGUUCUAGAAGAUUUGUGAUGAUGCUAGCAUCCUACAUCAACUAACCACUGUCUACACACCAUAGCAAAAUGGUGUUUGUGAGAGGAGUUAAGGGUAAAACACCCUUUGAGGCAAAAAUGCCAAACAACUUCUGGGCUGAAGCAGUAAACACAUCUGUUUACUUGCUGAAUAGACUGCCGACUAAAACAGUUAAGGGUAAAACACCCUUUGAGGCCUGGUUUGGGCAGAAACCAAUUGUGUCACACUUGAAAGUGCUUGGAUGCUUGUGCUAUGCACUGGUGCCAGCAGAGAAAAGAACUAAGCUGGAAAGAAAGUCUGUGCCAGGUGUGUUUGUAGGUUACAGCAGUGUAAAGAAGGGUUAUAGGAUCUUCAAUCCAUCAACCAAAAAAGUAAGUGUGAGCAGAGAUGUCAAGUUUAAUGAAGCAAGCUGCUGGAAGUGGAAUGGGACAGAUGCAAGCUUAGCUGAAGAAGAUUUACAGGACCUUGAUCUCCAGCAUGCUGAAGUUGAAAGUGAAGCUGUGGAUGACUUUGAUGAUAUGCCUGUCAGAGGCACUAGAAUAUUGGCAGACAUCUAUGAAAGAUGUGUUGUGACUAUGGUUGAGCCAUCCUGCUAUGCUGAAGCCUCAAAAGAAAGAUGCUGGCAAGAGGCUAUAGAAGCUGAACUAAGGAUGAUCCAAAAGAAUGACACCUAGGAGCUGGUUGAUAGACCAGAAAAUAGAAAGAUCAUUGGAGUAAAGUGGGUGUUCAGGAUCAAGAACAAUGCAGAUGGAUCACUAAACAAACACAAGGCCAGAUUAGUUGUGAAAGGAUAUAGCCAACAGCAAGGAGUCGAUUUCUUUGAAACUUUUGCUCCUGUUACAAGGCUGGACAUUAUAAGGAUAUUGUUUGCCCUAGCAGCUCAGAAACAAUGGCAGGUGCAUCAACUGGAUGUCAAAUCAGCCUUUUUAAAUAGAUUUCUCAUGGAGGAAACCUUCAUAGAGCAACCUGAAGGCUUUGAAGUUCAAGGAGAGGAACAAAAGGUCUACAAGCUCAAUAAGGCUCUAUAUGGCCUCAAACAGUCUCCAAGGGCCUGGUAUGAUCGAAUAGAUGCCUACUUGACAAGGCUCGGGUUCACAAAAAGCACUAGUGAGCCUACUCUCUAUGUUAAGAAUGAGGGUGAUGAGACUUUGCUGAUUGUGUCACUGUAUGUUGAUGAUCUGUUGGUCACUGGUUACAAAAGGGAGAAAAUUGAGACCUUUAAGAAGCAAAUACAAAGUGUGUUCGAGAUGACUGAUCUUGGCUUGAUGACAUACUUCCUUGGCAUGGAAGUGAACCAGAACGAGCAAGGCAUCUUCAUAAGCCAGAAGGCUUUUGCAUCAAAGGUUUUGAGCAAGUUUUGCAUGUCAAACUGCAAACCUGCUAGCACUCCUGUGGCUUUAGGAGAAAAACUCACUAGCCUAAGUGAUGAAGAUCGAGUGGAUGAAAAGAAUUACAGAAGCCUGGUUGGUUGCCUACUCUACUUGACUGCAACCAGGCCAGACAUCAUGCAUGAUGUAAGUCUUCUAUCGAGAUUCAUGUAUUGCUGCACAGUUGCACAUUUUAAAGCAGCAAAAAGGGUCCUAAUGUAUGUCAAAGGAACUUUAAGGCCCCGUUCUUUAUUGCAUUUUAAAUGGAAUUUUGCGUUAAAAAGUCCUUUUCUCUUAAAAGGAGAGAAGAACGGCCUCCAUCUUCUCAAAAAAUUCUCCAUCUCAAACGUCAUUUUCUCCUGAUGGAGAAGCUGAAAAUUUCACCAUCUAAAAAGCUUGAAGUGUUUUUGGCUGAUAAAUGACCAAAAUAACCUGUCUUCUCCCCCUUGGAAAAACGUUAUUUCCUCUGCUGUGAAAGUUUUAUACCCAUUUUUUUCACAUUUUCGCUGUGAAAGCUCCUUCCUGUUCUUUGUUCCUCUUUCGCAGGUGAGUUCGUUUUCUUCUUCUUCUAUUUAAUUAUUAGUUAUGCUUUGUUUUUAUUUACUUUUUAAUUCUGGCUUUUGUGCCUCUUUUGCUUUACUGUUUUGUGCCUCUACUGCUGCUUUGCUCUGCCUCUUUCUGAAAAGAAAAAUGCCAGGGCUGGGUUACUGAAGAACUCUCAACCUCUGAAAAAAAAACAGAGAAGAUUUUAUACUUAGAAAAACGAAACGCGAUGCAGUGGAAUUUCUCUUCGGAUUCGGUUAAAUUUCAGUUUCCCUGUUGAUACUUAAUUUCUUUUCCGUAUAUUUCCUUUUUGUUUUGUGACAAUGUCCGGCGAAACGGCAUCGUCUUCCGGAAUCAUCUUGGAAGGAAUUGAUGAUGUGGAGGACUACGUUUCGGUGUGUAAUUUUUGUAGUUCUUAUGAUUGUUUGGAUGCUGAGAAAAUGUAGGAAAAAGAGUAUGAAUACUGAAUACCAUUGCAUUUUUUUUGUUUUCUCAAUGAUUUAAUUUAAUUUUGAUCUAAUCAGAAAAGUUUUUAGUUACUUUCUUUAUUAAGGACUAAAUUUAGGGUUAUAAAGCAAGUUAAAAUUUUCUGUUGAUCCAUUUUUAUGAGGUCUGAAAAUCCACGAGUAUAUUUUCUGUUGUGUUAUUGUUCUGAAAGUUUUUAUACUUUUACUUUUUAGAAAUUAGAGAGCUAAGAGUGAAAGAGAUAAUGAACUUUUAGUUUCCUCCAUUUUCUUGGAGAUCAAACAGUUGUAUUAUUUCUUUUUCAUUUAGUCUGUUAAAAUUGUUUGUUUUGAUUGUGGUUAUCUUACAUUUGUUUGGUAGCUUGACAACUAUAUGUGAAAAGAACACAAACUGUAUCUGUCUUAUUUAUUUGUUUCCUCUUUUACUGUCUGUUUGGUUGCUGAAAAUUCCUAUGAAACUAGCAUAGUAAUUGAAAUUUCGUUUAUUUACUCUAUGAAUAUGUUACUUUCAACUGGAAAUAUGUUUUAACAUUAUUAACACAUUAACUUUUGGUAAAAAAAAACAGGUUUAUUAUAGGUUACAAUAGCCGUAAUGACUGCGCCGUAGCCAAAAAAUAAAAAAAGUGAUGAUCUGCCCCGUUGAUGUUUGCAUUUGGUUGGCAGACCUUGAUAAAUAUAGGAGUUGAGGUUUUAGUUUUAUGUAUGUAUUCUCAUACAAUUUAUGAAAAUUAUACUGUAGGUAUUGUGCAUAUUUGCAGAGAGUUUUUGGUUUUAAGACUACAUUUGUGAAUUAAAUUAACAUUGACUGAAGUGUAGGCCAAUGAAGGAGUGGGUUUUUGGGACCGAUAUCGUCAUGUUUAUGGUCAUUUGGUCAUUCAAAUUCUUGCAAGAGCUCCAUAACUUUUAAAUAUGAUUUAUUUGCUCUAUUGUUCAUCUGAAUUAUAAAACUGCUUAGUAACUGUUGACACCAUUUUUUGGAUGAAAAACGGGGUCGACUUGGGUUUUGAAAAAAGAAAAGGGAGUUGCCACCAAUCCUUUUUGAUGAGGUGUGAUUGGAUCACCUUGAAAAGUAGUUGUUUUUAAUAAACGAUUUGAUUUUAUUAAAACAACGGUUUUGGUCCAUGAAAUUCAGGAAAAUGAGUUCGGGAGUCGGUUACGCACGAGGAAGGAUUAGCACCCUCGAUACGCCCAAAAUUGGUACCUAGUUGAUUACUUAAUGUCUUAAUGUCGAAAAUUGAGAACCUUGAAGAAUUUUAAAAAUACGAUCCUUUUAUUAAAAUGUUGAAAAUUUUCAGGAAAAAUGAGAUAUUUCACGUUAUUCGAGAAAGAGAAUCAUAUCCAGUAAGUUAGGACACAAUAUCUCGAAUUCCCGAUACGCGAAUGAAAAAAUGCUUAUUUAAAAAUAUUUAACUAUCUUGGAUUAAAAAAGAGAUCGCGACCAGUAAGUUAGGACACGAUCUUUUAAUCUCGAGAUCAUUUAAAAUUUGAGUUUAAAAAGAUUCGUGCAUUUAGAUUUAUCGUGAAAAUCAAAACCCAGUAAGUUAGGGUACGACAUUCUCAAAUCUAAACACGAGAUUUUGCUUAUUCAAAAAUUGUAAUUUAUGCAUUGAAAUAAAUUNNNNNNNNNNNNNNNNNNNNNNNNNNNNNNNNNNNNNNNNNNNNNNNNNNNNNNNNNNNNNNNNNNNNNNNNNNNNNNNNNNNNNNNNNNNNNNNNNNNNCAAAAAGGGACCAGAUUGCAUUAAGGCGCAAAAGAGGAAGGAUCUCGCGCAUAAAUAUCCCCUCACCGCAGAAACACGCGGAUCCUAGGCGGUCUGGGUCGGGUCGGUUUGGGUCAGCUCCUAAACGGCGUCGUUUUGCACCUGGAGAGCCCACCCCAAAACGCUGCCGUUUUGCCAACAAUAUAAAAGCCCAAAAAAUAUUAUUUUUUUUCAUUUCAGCAGUUUUGUUUCAAAAAAAGGAGUUAAAAACUUUGUUUUCUCUCUAGCUUCACUGGGCAUUGCCCAGAUUCCGGCGUGGGGAUCGCCGUCGACCGUCGCGGGCUGUGGCCGGGGUACCCAAAAGUCGGUUUUUUAGAACCCCGAUCUCGACCCUUCUAAAAAAUAUACCCUUUUAGUCCCGAAAAGUCAGAAAAGGAGGGGUUUUUCGUAAUCCCUUUUAGUCCGAUUCCAACGCCGAAGGUGGUCUCCAGCGACGGGCUUUCGAGACCGAUGAGUAUCCCCUUUCUUUUCUUUUUCGUUUUGUUAUAAAGAAGAAAUCAAACAAACAAAAAAUAAAAUAAAAUAAAAUAGAAUAAAAUAAAAUAGCAACGUAAGAACAGAGAAAGAAAAUGGGGUCAACCUUUUUUGUUUUUUUUAUUUCAGUUGUUGUUGUUGUUACAAAGAUCGUAUUUUUUGCUUUUAUAUCUCAUCUAUUUCUAUUUUUCUAUUAUUUGUUGCUGCUUUUUGCGUGUCUGCUCUGUUUUUGCAGGUGUUGAUGAAGCUAGGCACGGUGGGUAGCGAUGGGACAAGGCAAACGGCAGAGGGAUGGGUGCGGCGCUAGGCUUGGCUAGGGUUUCAUUUUUCUGAAACCCUAGCUGGGCUUUUUUUUUGGGAAAUUGGGCUCCGAAUUUGGGCCUCGGGUUUGGGUUGUAAUUGGGCUUGCGGGUUGGUGUUAUUUUGCUGGCAGGGCCUGGGCAAAUUUGGGCUUCUAUAGCUGCCCCUCUUUGCUCGUUGUCGUGUAACGAUAAUAGAGCAAAGACUAAGAAAGACCAAUUUUUGCCCAGUCUUGUCGAGGAAAAGAUUCACUGUUGAGGCUUCUAUCUGUUUCGCUGCGUCGUCUGGAAGUAAAAUCUACCGUUGUGGCUUCGAUCUUUUAAAUUGCAAUAUCGGGGAAAUGAGAUUCGCUGUUGUAGCUUCAAUCUUCUUCGCUGCAUUGCCAGAAGUAAGAUUCGCCGUUGUGGCUUCAAUCUUUUAAAUUGCAAUGUCUGGGAAGUGAGAUUCGCUGUUGUAGCUUCAAUCUUCUUCGCUGCAUUGCCAGAAGUAAGAUUCGCCGUUGUGGCUUCAAUCUUUUAAAUUGCAAUGUCUGGGAAGUGAGAUUUGCCGUUGUAGCUUCAAUCUGCUCCGCUGCAUCGCCAGAAGUAAGAUUCGCCGUUGUGGCUUCAAUCUUUUAAAUUGCAAUGUCGGGGAAGUGAGAUUCGCUGUUGUAGCUUCAAUCUGCUCCGCUGCAUCACUAGUAGUGAGAUUCGCCGCUGUGGCUUCGAUCUUUUAAAUUGCAGUGUCGGGGAAGUGAGAUCCGCUGUCAGUGCAGGAAGGCAAGAUCUACUAUCUUCAUUGACCUGUUCUCUGGGGAACAUGACCUGCAUAAUCCAUUUGAUGGACCUAUUUAUGCCUAGUGUUUAGGAUGUCAUGAUUAAAAUGAAUCAAAAUUUCCUAACUAGAUAUGUAUGAAUGAUAUUUGUAUGAAUGCAGAAUGUCAUAAGAAUGAUCCAUUUUGUUUGAGUUGUUAUUACUCAUUGUUUUAUCACUGACGUGUUACAACGCCUUCUUGCUCGACUGGCAUAUCCAAAGAAACAUUUAAUCAGAUUGCCCCCACUGUAAGCCUCCAAGUUCAAUCCAAUGGAUGCAAAAUUUGAACCAUCUUUCUCCCGCUGUAACCUAAAGGUAGAAAGAUCUGGCCUUUUCUCGAUCAUCUGCUAUCACAAUUCAAUGAUACAGAAUGUGAAGCUCUCUGCUCCUUUACUCCGUUCCCAAGGUGUUAUACCAAAUGUUUAUGCCCAAUGAAGAGUUUUCUUAUUCCAGAAGAUCUUUUCUUAUUGCUUGGUGAAUAUCGCUUGUUUGUUCAUUGAAGCUUUGCCACCAACACGACAUCUUGUCAUUUUGUUCAAUGUUUGGACGACAAAAUUUGAAAGGAUAGUCCUGACUCGGACUUUUCCCUUUUAGACACUUUGAAUUUGGUGUGCUCUAAACACCAGUCCUGUUUCAGGUUCCUUCAUUAUUUAGAAAUUUCUAGAGUAAUAUGCAAAACUCCAUUUGCUUGAACAUUCAGUUCAUUAAUAGUUAUUCAAAAAAAAAUUUUCGAAAAAAAAUUAUCGCAACGAACAAACAAAUGUUAUUGAAAACAAAUCUCGAAACGAAUGGGUUAAUCAAGAUAGCAAAUUUCAAUAGACAAAAUGAAAUUUUAUUGGGGAGCAAAGUUUGAAAUGAAUACAUUAAUCAAGACAACAACUUUUGUCAAGAUUCAAAAUGAAUAAAAUGACAAAAGGUGCUCAAGACAUUGUAGCACGAGCUUCCCUGCAUAAGCCUUCUGAAAACCAUUCUGAGUUUGAUAUGUGUUCAGGGAAUCAACAGGGUUUUGUCGAUACCCCAAGAUGUCAUCUACCCUUUCCUUGUUGAUUCAGGUAUAUCGAGACUACCACAUGCCCCAGAUCUUAAUCAAAAUUUGAGUUGCUUCGAUCACCUCAUGUCUUCUCAAAAUUUGAGCUGCCUUUUCAGGUUUUCAACUCAAAUCCCCUUUGGUCUCAAGGUGCCCUUUACGGGUUUUCACCUUGGCCUCUCCUCUUUUUUUUUUUUGAAUGCCCUUUACGGGUUUUCACUUUGGUCCUCCUCCUUCAGGUGAAGUAUUUCUUAACUGAAUCUGAGUUCACAGGAUUUGGCAAGCUUUUACCAUCCAUCUCGCUCAAGAUCAAAGCUCCUCCUGAAAAGGCCUUUUUUACCACAUAAGGACCUUCCCAAUUUGGCAUCCAUUUUCCUCUAAAAUCCUUUUGUAGAGGAAGAAUCUUUUUCAAAACCAAGUCCCCCUCGUAAAAUUCUCUGGGACGAACUUUUUUGUUAUAGGCUCGCGUCAUUCGUUUCUGAUACAUCUGACCAUGACGAAUAGCUUUUAACCUCUUUUCUUCUACCAAGUUUAGCUGGUCAUAUCGAGAUUGAAUCCAUUCAGCCUCAUCCAACUUUAGUUCAGCUAAUACUCGGAGAGAAGGAAUUUCAACUUCUAUGGGUAAAACUGCUUCCAUCCCAUAGACUAAAGAAAACGGUGUUGCCCCAGUAGAGGUUCUAACAGAAGUGCGAUAUGCUAGGAGAGCAAAAGGUAAUUUCUCGUGCUAGUCUUUGUAGGUUUCAGUCAUUUUUCCUACAAUUUUCUUGAUGUUUUUGUUAGCUGCUUCCACGGCACCAUUCAUUUUUGGACGAUACGGUGACGAAUUGUGGUGUCUGAUCUUGAACUGACUACAAACUUCCGCUAUUAAGUUGUUGUUUAAGUUCAUCGCAUUAUCGGAUAUGAUCCUUUCAGGCAUCCCGUAUCGACAUAUGAUCUCCUUUUUCAGAAACUUGCUAACUACCGACUUCGUGAUAUUUGCAUAUGAAGCAGCCUCCACCCAUUUAGUGAAGUAAUCAAUAACCACAAAGAUAAAACGAUGCCCAUUAGAAGCUUUUGGAGAUAUUGGCCCGAUAACGUCCAUUCCCCACAUGGAGAAAGGCCAUGGAGAAACCAUAACAUGAAGGGGUGAAGGUGGUGCGUGCAUUUUGUUACUGUAGAUUUGACACUUAUGGCACAUUUUGGCAUAAUUAAUUCACUCCCCUUCCAUGGUGGACCAAUAGUACCCAAAUCUCAUAAUUUGUCUGGCCAUCGUGAAGCCGUUGGCAUGCAUUCCACAGAUACCUUCAUGCACUUCUUCCAAAAUUUCUUUUGCCUCGACGGCAUCCACACACCUCAACAAUACUUGAUCUUUUCCCUUUUUAUACAAAAUUUCCCCAUCUAGGACAUAGUCAAUGGUUAAUCUCCUUAAUGUCUUCUUAUCAUUUUCUGUCGCACGGUCAGGGUAUUCACGACUCUUCACAUAUUGCAAUAUGUCAUGGUACCAAGGGUGAUCAUCCUUUCCCUCUUCACUGUCAAUGUUGCAACAAUGAGCUGGAGCCUCGUAGAUGCUGAUCUGGAUAGGCUUCAUAUCUUCUAAUUUGUUCACUUUAAACAUGGAGGCUAAAGUGGCCAAAGCAUCUGCCAUCUGGUUUUCAUCUCGCGGGAGGUAACUAAAGGUGACACUAUCAAAUUCCUCAAUCAAUUUCAUAACCAAUUUUCGAUAGCGGACCAACUUCGGGUCUCUUGUUUCCCAUUCCCCUUUGAGCUGAUAAAUUACUAAUGCAGAGUCCCCGUAUACUUCUAGCACCUUAAUUUUCCGCUCUAUGGCUGCCCGGAUGCCCAUAAUGCAAGCUUCAUACUCAGCCAUAUUAUUUGUGCAGUCAAAGUCCAAUUUGCUAGUGAAAGGAUAAUAGUCUCCACUGGGAGACACGAGUACGGCCCCAAUUCUGUUGCCUAUAGCAUUUGAAGCUCCGUCAAAACUCAACUUCCAAGGACCACCUUCUUGGAAAUCUUUCUCUACAGUUGCGAUAUACAUCAAAUCUUCAUUUGGGAAAUCGAAGUUCAAUGGCUCAUAAUCAUCCAGAGCCCUACUUGCUAGAAAUUCCGCUAUUGCACUCCCUUUGACCGCCUUCUGGUUUACAUAGACUAUGUCAAAUUCAGAUAGAAGAAUUUGUCAUCGGGCUAUUCUUCCAUUCAGAGCGGUUGACUCCAUUAAGUAUUUCAAAGGGUCCAAUUUGGAGAUUAACCAGGUCGUAUGGUACACAUGUACUGUCUCAGUCUCCGAGUUGUCCAGAUUAGGGCACAACAUAAUUUCUCGAUUGGCGAAUAUCUUGUUUCGCAUUCAGUGAACUUCUUACUGAGAUAGUAGAUUGCUCUUUCCUUUCGUCCUGAUUCAUCAUGUUGAGCAAGCACGCAUCCCAUGGAAUUUUCAAAUACUGCCAAAUACAGUAUGAGUGGUUUGUCUGGGCAGGGUGGCAUCAGCACUGGGGCGUUGGAUAAGUAAUGUUUGACUUUUUCAAAAGUUUUUUGACAUUCCUCAUCCCAUACACCAGGAUUAAGUUUCUUGAGGAGGCGAAAAAUGGGGUCGCAUUUCUCAGUUAGCUGUGAGAUAAACCGAGCAAUAUAGUUCAGCCUUCCUAGAAAACCUCGAACCUCCUUUUGAGUACGCGGCGGGGGUAAUUCUUGUAUUGCUCUUACUUUGUCAGGAUCAAUCUCAAUUCCUUUCUCACUGACCACGAACCCAAGCAAUUUUCCUGAUCUGACCCCAAAUGUGCAUUUUGCUGGAUUUAGCUUUAGCUGAAAUUUUCUCAACCUCAUAAAUAAUUUCUUAAGGACCUGCACAUGUUCCUCUUCUGUUUUAGAUUUUGCAAUCAUGUCAUCAACAUAGACCUCUAACUCAUUAUGCAUCAUAUCAUGGAACAAUGUUACCAUGGCCCUCUGAUACGUUGCCCCUGCGUUUUUCAACCCAAAUGGCAUCACCUUAUAACAAAAGGUUCCCCAUAGGGUUAUGAAUGUAGUUUUCUUCAUAUCCUCAGGAUGCAUCUUAAUUUGGUUAUAUCCAGAGAAACCAUCCAUGAAAGAAAACAGCGAAUGUCCUGCUUUAUUGUCCACCAAGGCAUCAAUGUGCGGCAAGGGAAAGUUAUCUUUGGGGCUGGCCUUAUUUAAAUCUCUAUAAUCUACACACAUUCGUACCUUCCCAUCUUUUUUAGGGACAGGAACGAUAUUGGCUACCCACUCGGAGUAUUUGACCACCUGCAGGAAUCCAGCGUCGAAUUGUUUUUGCACCUCCUCUUUUAUUUUUAACACAACAUCAGGCCUCAUCCUUCGGAGCUUUUGCUGAACUGGUUUGUAAUCUUCCUUUAUAGGAAGUCGGUGAACUACGAUGUCAGUACUUAACCCCGGCAUAUCUUGGUAUGACCAUGCGAAGACAUCUUUGAACUCUCGAAGCAAUUUAACGAGGUCUUGUUUCACUUCUUCAGCUAUGCACGUGCCAAUCUUUACCACCUUUCCCUCUUCCAGGAUCACUGUCUCUAUCGUCUCCUCGUGAGGAAGAACCUGUUUCUCUUCCUGCUCUACCAUCCUCAACAAGUCCGGAGGUAGGUUGUAAUCCGUGUUAUCUUCAAAAUCUUGAGAUUCCUCUAAACACAUAUCUCGUUCAAAAGGAUUUUCUAAGUCCAUAGUAGAGUCACUCAUAUCAUUGAUAUCUUGGGACCUGUUAUAGGUAUCAAAGAAUGUACAGGGAAUGUAUGAAUUUAAGGAUUCUUAUUUAGUAUGACCAUGAAUAAAAGAAUGAUUCGGAAUAAAAGCAUUCAAGAUGACUAUUCGUAUGAAAGAAUGAAAAGAAUUUUAAAAGAAUAUAUACUCAAAAUGCGAAGAUAUAUUUCAUUGAAAUCACAAUGUCCACAUAUAAGCCCAUUUCAGUUUACAAAAGUUUUCAUUUUCUCUAGGCUUAGAACAAUUAAUAUGUUUUGAAUAUUACUCUGGAAAAGCUCUAAAAACUUCAGGCAUUUCUUCUGCAGUCCAAUUGUUUAAAACACUCCCAGGUUCAACGGGAUAGAUGCCUGAUGUACUUCCCUCUUCAGAUUCUUCUUCAAAUAUGGCAUUGAUGCUUAAGUUUCCUAACAUUUCCUCUGCGGUCUUCUUUCUUGGAGUCCUCAGUCCAGAAUACAUGGUUCCUCCCGAUAUGAAUGUCCUGGAUAUGUGGGGGAAAGCCAUAGGUUCCCAAUCAACUUCUUUUCCGUUCAAACGCGCUUUCCUCCUGUCUUGUCUUUUCUCUAACUCUUUCUUUCUCUGCUUGACAUUUGGUUUAAAUCCUAAACCAAAACGGUCUUGUUUGUCUUUCACCACUGGUGCCUCAAUCUUUCCUUGAAGGCAUCUUCCCAGUCCUCUUCCAGGCACAGCUCCUUUCCCAACUGUCAUUUGUAGUCCCAUCCUUGUGGCUUUAGAUAUGCUGGGCACUGGGAUUUUCUUUCCCUCAGUGACAAAAGUUGCAUUUACGAACUCUAAGGAUCGAAAAGAACGUUCGACCGCAUCGUCAUCUACUCCCAAAUAUGGUGCGUCACUGGUUACCGAUGCAAUGUUGUCUUCCUCAGCGUCAAUCGUAAUUAACCGGCCUUCUGUCACUAAUUUCAACUUCUGGUGCAAUGAUGAAGGCACGCCCCUGCUGAAUGAAUCCAUGGUCUCCCCAGUAAGCAAUUAUACGAAGGCUUGAUAUCCAUCACUAAGAAAUCCACUUCGUACGUAUUUGGGCCAAUCAAGAGAGGUACUUCUAUUCUUCCCAUCACCUUUCUUUCGGUACCAUCAAAUGCUCUCACUAUGUUCUGGCAUGAUUUCAUGUGAGAGCUGUCCACCGGUAACCUAUUUAAGAUGGAUAGGGGUAAAACAUUCAAGGCUGAUCCAUUAUCAAUUAGCACUCUUGACAACAUAUGUUUCCCGCAGUAAGUAGAAACAUGUAAGGCUUUGGUGGUUCCUCUUCCCCCGGGCGGUAUUUCAUCAUCAUUAAAGAAGAUGAAAUUGUCGGCACUGAUAUUAUUAACCAAACGGUCCAACUUAUUCACUGAGAUAUCAUCAGCGACAUAAGUUUCAUUUAGCACCUUAAUCAGCGCAUUACGAUGUAUCUCUGAACUUAGAAGCAAUUCAAGCAUCGAGAUACGAGCCGGUUGCUUAUGUAAUUGCUCUACCACGCUGUACUCGCUAUGUUUUAAAAAUUUUAGAAAUUCAUUAGCCUCAUUUUCAGUUACCGGCUGAUUGAUGCGCGGCUCAAUUUUGUCUGUCUUUGCUUUUCCCAAUUCAACCGCUAAGGCUUUUCCUUUUCCAGACUCCACUCUUGCGUUUGCCGGAUCAUAGCGUUUUCCACUUCGUGUAUAGAAUCCUUCAUCCUCUCCUGAAGCAUUUACCAAGCUCUCCUCUCCUGGGAUUGUUACAUUGCAGUUGUAAUUCUAAGGAACCUUUUUGCUAUCCUUGUAGGGAAAGGAUACAGGUUUUUGGAUUACGACCUUUGGUGCUAUUUGUAUUCCAGAUUCUCUGCUCAUUGGUUUUGCAAUAAUUACCACCGGGUAAUUAGCCUUUUAGGCUUUCCCCGUGGAUCCUUCUUCUGCAGCAUAAACCUCUCCUCCUUCUAGUCCCUUAAUCUCUUCAUAAAACUCCAACUCUUUGCUAUCCAUUAAGUUUUGCAUCAUGGUUCUGAACUCGGUGCAAUCUUGGAUGUCAUCGCUUUCUUCUGCAUGGAACUCGUAAAAUUUCCUUGUUCCUUCAGGCCUUUCUAUUGAAACUUGCUUGAUGAGACCUCUUUUCAUCAUUUGUUUCCAAACCCAUCCAAUGGGGUCUUUAUCUCUGCUAUGUUGGCUUUGACUCUCCUUCCUCCAUAUUCAAUUAUCGCAUUCACCCCUUUAUUAUCAUGGUUGGGCAACGGAUUCUCUGCUACAUUCGGUCCUGAUGAGUCACCUAUCUUUACGAUCCCCAAAUUGAUAAGUCUUUCAACUAACUUCUUGAAUGCAGUGCAAUUUUCAAUUGAGUGCCCCUUGGUCCCCGCGUGAUACUCGCAUUGAACAUUUGCGUCAUACCACUUAGGGUACGGAGGUUGCAUAGGUUUGAGGUAAAAUGGAGAUAUCACACGUGCAUCGAAUAAGUUCUGGUACAAUUCCCUAUACGUCACUGAGAUGGGUGUGAAUUGAAGUUUCUCUACCUUUGGCCUUGAUUGGAUUCCUGUGUCGAAAAAAUUUACUGAUUAGCGGUUACUGCUCUGGCUUGCCCUACCGUGAUUGAUUUAGAAUGGUCCCUGUUAAACGUGCUUGUAUUGUUUAUCUCAUGUUCCUUUUUCCUUGGAGCCGACCUUUUAGUACUUUCUCCUGCUUCUAUCUUGCCACAUCUUAUGGCGUUCUCUAUCAUUUCUCCAGACAUCACUAUGUCUGAAAAGCUUUUAGUGGCACUGCCCAACAUGUGAUUGAGAAAUGGAGCUUUCAAGGUAUUGAUAAAAAGCAUGGUUAUCUCCUUCUCUAAAAGUGGUGGUUGAACUUGUGCUGCUACCUCCCUCCAUCUCCGAGCAUACUGGCGAAAGUUCUCAUUAGUUUUCUUUUCCAUGUUUUGCAAUACAAUUCGAUCGGGUGCUAUAUCCAUCACAUGUCUAUACUGCUUUAUAAAGGCCUGCGCCAAAUCUUUCCAGGAGUGGAUUUCGGUUCGACUCAAUUGAUUGUACCAUCUAGCUGCUGACCCGAUCAAACUGUCCUGAAAACAGUGAACCAUCAGUUGCUCAUUGUUGAUGUACCCGGUCAUCCUUCGGUAAAACAUAGUGAUAUGAGCCUGGGGACAACUUGUCCCGUCAUAUUUUUCAAACUCCGGUAUCUUAAAUUUGGGAGGGAGGACCAAAUUUGGUACCAAGCUUAGAUCUUUAGCAUCCAUCCCAUGAUAAUUCUCGAUACUUUCCAUGGCUUUGAAUUUCUCUUCGAGCCAUUUACAUCUUUCCUCCAAUCGGCUCUGUAGUUCUUCCUUUGUUUUCUCUUUUCCCAUCAUUUCGUCAAAAUCGGGUACUAUGGGAUUAGUAGGGGCUUCUCCGAGAUGAGAACCUAUUCCAGUUUGGAAAUUUACUGGUAUUGAGGCACCAGUUUGAAAUUGCUGAGGCCUGAUAGUAACAGAUGAUCUGCGUGGUUGCACAUCAGCUUGGGUUUGCGCAUGAGGAGGAGUGAAACCUGGGGGAUAGAGAGGGCUAUCAUUAUUUUCUUCUUCUAUAUUAACCACGGGGUCUUUUCCCUUGUCGCUUCCCCCUUUGAACAAUUGCGUUAAUUCAGCUAUCAUGCUUUUUUGAGACUCUAUCAUUUCGUUCUUCAUAUCUUGUUGAAUCUUCUCUAACCGCUCUUGCAUUUGUUCUUGCAUCUCCCUUUGGAGCUGUUCGAGUCUUCGAGUCUUUGAUCCAUGGCUUUUGUUUUGCGACGGGUACCGUAGUGAUAAACGAUUGGCGAAUUUUUGUUAGUUUCCAGGGUAGUUCUGUCAUAAUUUUAAAUUAAUUAGGCUCCCUUUUUAAAACUUAAUGCAUAUGAUGAUAUGUAAAUGCAUGAAUGCAAAAAGAGGCACUGAUUCUAAUUCAACUUCAUUAGAAAGCUUUACUAGAGAAGAAAUUUCUUUACAUAAAAUAGAUUACAUAUACGGCUUUGCCCUUAUACCCAAAGCCUUAACCUUUUUAAGGAGCCAAGCUAAUUCUCGGCCCCGGUCCGAUUCCAACUCAAACUUUAAACUUAAUAGAUCAGUUUGAACCGCUAAGGUUUGCAGGUGAUCAGCUACCUCGCGUACUUGAACCACUGCCUCACCCAUAACAUAAUCUCUGUCUCUAAUCUGAUCUUGAGACCGCUGGAAUUGCCCCUGCCACUGCUCACUACUUCUUUCCAGAAGCUCUAUUCGGAAUUCGCUGCUUUGCAAUGCGUCCUCGAGCUCUCUUACUUGUCCCUUUAAUUCUUCAAUUCUUUCCAAGCUUGCCUUUAAUUCAAUCACAGAAUUACGACUACAGUAUUGGUGAAGUAGCCUUUCCAAUUCAGUUAUUCGGGCAUUCAACUUCGUCUUCUCAUUUUGGCAGACUAGCAGACUCUCUCCCAAAGUAACUUCUCGAGUUUGAGCAUCCUGAAAUUUCUUUUCCCACUGAUUAGCUUUCGUUCUUUCCUCCUGAAUUUCCUGUCGCCAUUGUUCUGGCGUUUUACCCAAGCCAGCAGUUCUUAUCGACCUGCGCAACUUCUUGUAAUCAGUCUUCAGGCUGUCUAAAUCUUCUUCUGCCUUGUUCUUCCCUUUCCUUAAUUUGUCAGCCUCUAAUCUUUGAAUGUCCAAAUCCAGUCCUAACUGCAUUUUCUCUUCCUCUAACUUCUCUACUUUCUUCCCUAUCUCCAAACUCCUCUUUUUAAAUUCUUGCUUGAUAAUUUCUAUCUCAGAGGGCAAUACUUGUAGGUGUUCCUCUAAAGAUCGAGCAGUUUCUGGAUUUGACGCCGGGAUAUUAUCGUUGACCCUUUGAUCACGCCACUGGCUAUACUCGGGGGUCAUCAUCGGACCCACGGCUAAAAUUCUCAUUCGGCGAGUUUGGUUCCAGGCAUUAGACACUUCUCGAACCUUUUUCUUGUAAUUGUCCUCCCUAUAGGAAAAAUCAGAAUAGGCCAACCCCAGCGUUACUGGUACGAAUUGUCGUGAUCUAUACUGUCUGGAUACGAGUAGGGGAACAUAUCCGAUAGCUCCCCAUAUCCCGAGCAGAGGAACCCAGUCGAAAUCUCCACACCGGUACAAUAUCUCAUCAAGAAUUAACCAAGGAGCCCUCCAUUCAAUAUCUUCAUCCUGGAGAUUCUGGAGUAUCUCCCUCCAUCUUUCUUCUGAAAUAUCAUCCCGUCUUGGUGUGGCCACCAAUUCCUCUAGAGGGGAGUAACCGUUAGAGAACACUCGAUAAGAGACCUUUUCCAUUUUCCAGAAAUGACUAUGAAACCAUGCCAAUAAAAGUUGUGCGCAUCCAAUAAACCUUCCCUCACCUGUUUUCCAACAUGCACUCAGGGAUCUGAAAGUUUCAGCCAGUAUUGCCGGAACCGGUGUAACCCCUUUACUAAGCCGAUCAAACAAAUCAGAUACAGCCUCGUCUAUGUGCCCUAAAGCCUUGGGGAAGACCACUAGCUCGUAGAUACCUAAAGCGAAGACAUCGACCCUUUUCUUUACGUCAGGAUGUACAAGCACCAAAUCUCGUAAGCUUUUCCAAGGGACACAUUUACUGUCGCCCUUCUAUUGGAUUCGGACAGCGACCCACUGCUCGCUCAUCCCGGUAAUGUUCAUUAAUUUCCUUAACAAUGGAGGGACACAAGCAGCUCUAGAAUAAACCCUGUCGACUUGAAACUUUGGGCACCGAAGCAAGGUCGUAUACUCCUCCACAGUAGGCGUCAAAUCGACUUUCCCAAAAGUGAAACAACUGUAGGCAGGAUUCCAAAAUUGAGCAAGGGCUCGGAAUAAAUACUUGUCCACUUUAACACUGAGCAGAUAAGGUAGGUCACCGUAGUUACAAUAGAACAGCUGCUUGGUCCCGACAUCCCACUGAUCCCAGACUUCUUUCAUUUCUCGAAGGUCAUUCUAGAUUACACUGAUACGGGUGAAAUCCCAUAAUUCUGACACGUGCCCCUCGGUAAGACUAUCGCCUUUCUCCCGUUGUGUCGUUUCAGCCCAAACUCGCACAGUCGCAUUAUCUUCUACUUUAUCAAGAAAUUCCUUUUCCAUGAUAAGCUUUCGUUUUAGACACUGAACAUGAAUCGACACCUCUUUUAGAAUGACAAUGCUAUACAAUCGCAAAUAAAGCAAAGAUAAUAUUACGCAGAACAAGAUUUAACGUAAAUCACGAUAAAUAUAACAUCCAUUUAGGUAAGCACUGAGGUUUGGCGUAGCUCUACCUAGGUCGGUUCUUAUGGGUCAUUACAUGUGGUUUGGUUCUAAGCAGGGUACCUGAACCAGCAGAUUCCUCAAUCCUCACCCAUUAUAGGCUCAUACGGACCGAGUUCAGUUCAGGGGAAUACAUUUCCCUAUGGCCAUGCGGAGAUGAAAAUCUCACGAAGACAUAGGUACGGAUGUAUCCCGGAAGCGAUUCACUAUCCCAUGCGGAGGUGAAAACCUCACGAAGGCGUAGCUUCUCACUCCCACUUAAGAGGUGCGACCAACGGUCAUGCAAUGCAAUGUGCAGAGGUAUAUAAAAAACUUAAAAUACAAAACAUGAUAAAAACUAUAACUCAAAAUAAAAUGCAAUGAGAGGAUCGGAUAUUUAACUCAAAUUUUCAACUUUCGACAAAAGGACAAGAGAUAAUCAACUCGUGGCUUGACUCUCUUAUUUACUUCCCCAGUGGAGUCGCCAAGCUGUUGACACCAUUUUUUUUGAUGAAAAACGGGGUCGACUUGGAUAAAGGGAACGAAAAUGGGAGUCGCCACCAAUCUUUUUUGAUGAGGUGUGAUCGGGUCACCUCGAAAAGUGGUUAUUUUUAAUAAACGAUUUAAUUUUUAUUAAAACAACGCUUUUGGUCUACGAAAUUCAGAAAAACGGGUUCGGGAGUCGGUUACGCACGAGGAAGGAUUAGCACCCUCGAUACGCCCAAAAUUGGUACGUAGUUGAUUACUUAAUGUCUUAAUGUCGAAAAUUGAGAACCUUGAAGAAUUUUAAAAAUACGAUCCUUUUAUUAAAACGUUGAAAAUUUUCAGGAAAAAUGGGAUAUUUCACGUUAUUCGAGAAAGAGAAUCAUAUCCAGUAAGUUAGAACACAAUGUNNNNNNNNNNNNNNNNNNNNNNNNNNNNNNNNNNNNNNNNNNNNNNNNNNNNNNNNNNNNNNNNNNNNNNNNNNNNNNNNNNNNNNNNNNNNNNNNNNNNNNNNNNNNNNNNNNNNNNNNNNNNNNNNNNNNNNNNNNNNNNNNNNNNNNNNNNNNNNNNNNNNNNNNNNNNNNNNNNNNNNNNNNNNNNNNNNNNNNNNNNNNNNNNNNNNNNNNNNNNNNNNNNNNNNNNNNNNNNNNNNNNNNNNNNNNNNNNNNNNNNNNNNNNNNNNNNNNNNNNNNNNNNNNNNNNNNNNNNNNNNNNNNNNNNNNNNNNNNNNNNNNNNNNNNNNNNNNNNNNNNNNNNNNNNNNNNNNNNNNNNNNNNNNNNNNNNNNNNNNNNNNNNNNNNNNNNNNNNNNNNNNNNNNNNNNNNNNNNNNNNNNNNNNNNNNNNNNNNNNNNNNNNNNNNNNNNNNNNNNNNNNNNNNNNNNNNNNNNNNNNNNNNNNNNNNNNNNNNNNNNNNNNNNNNNNNNNNNNNNNNNNNNNNNNNNNNNNNNNNNNNNNNNNNNNNNNNNNNNNNNNNNNNNNNNNNNNNNNNNNNNNNNNNNNNNNNNNNNNNNNNNNNNNNNNNNNNNNNNNNNNNNNNNNNNNNNNNNNNNNNNNNNNNNNNNNNNNNNNNNNNNNNNNNNNNNNNNNNNNNNNNNNNNNNNNNNNNNNNNNNNNNNNNNNNNNNNNNNNNNNNNNNNNNNNNNNNNNNNNNNNNNNNNNNNNNNNNNNNNNNNNNNNNNNNNNNNNNNNNNNNNNNNNNNNNNNNNNNNNNNNNNNNNNNNNNNNNNNNNNNNNNNNNNNNNNNNNNNNNNNNNNNNNNNNNNNNNNNNNNNNNNNUGAGCAAGGUAAUAAAAUUGCUAAAAAUUGAGACUAAAUCAAAAUAAAAACAAAUAUGCUGGGCAAAUUUGAAAUAAAAUAAAAGGGACGAAAGGGACUAAAAUGCGACACGCGCGGAAAGAGGGGGACCAAAACUGAAAAUAAACAAAAAGCCCCAAAACGCAGCGUUGAAAUGGAUCAUAUUGUAACAAAAAUGAAAUUACGGGGCUAAAAUAAAAAAUAAAAGAAGAUAGUGAAGAUGGGCCGAAUUGAAGCGCGCUGCAGAGUCGGAGGGCUAGACGCGAAAUUAUCCCCCUUUUAGAAAACGCGCGGAUCCUCCCCUCGGGUCGGGUCACCGCGCGGGUCAGGGGUUUCAAAACGGCGCCGUUUAGCAUUUAGUAUAAAUACAAAAAAACCUUUAAAAAAAACAGAUUCAGAUCCUUCUUUUAAAAAAAUAAAAAAAAUCAGAGAGCUUUGGGGCUCUCUCUCAAAUCCUCAAAUCCGACCGCCUCCGGUCAUCGGGCCGACGUCCGUCGGCCACCGCACACGGUGGUUGGAGGCACAAAAUGGGCCAUUUUUGGUCCCCUUUGGAGCCGGUCGUCUCUCGGACAUGGAUUCGAGGCCGAAUCCCAUGAGAUGAGCACCGUACCCGAGAAAAACGAAGGGAGAUCGUUCGUCUCCUCUCCGUCCGGCACGGCGCAGGUAAGGCCUCUUCUCCUCGUCUCUUUUUUUAUUUUCGUUACAAAUGAGUAAAAAUAAUAAAUAAAAUAAAAUAAAAUAAGAAGAAUGCAAGAACAAAUAAAGAAAAUGGAGUCAACCUUUUUUGUUUUUUAUUUCAGUUGUUGUUGUUGUUACAAAGAUCAUAUUUUUUACUUUUAUAUCUCAUCUAUUUCUAUAUUUCUAUUAUUUGUUGCUGCUUUUUGCGUGUCUGCUCUGUUUUUGCAGGUGUUGAUGAAGCUAGGCACGGUGGGUGGCGAUGGAACAAGGCAAACGGCAGAGGGAUGGGUGCGGCGCUAGGCUUGGCUAGGGUUUCAUUUUUCUGAAACCCUAGCUGGGGUUUUUUUUGGGAAAUUGGGCUCCGAAUUUGGGCCUCGGGUUUGGGUUGUAAUUGGGCUUGCGGGUUGGUGUUAUUUUGCUGGCAGGGCCUGGGCAAAUUUGGGCUUCUACAGUAACUGUUAACAAAAUUGCCUUGUUGAAUAUGCCGUUUGUUAUUAUUGCCCCAUGCUCCAGCUCUAAUGUGGCAUGCUGUUUUAAGUAAUCAAUAGAUGUAAAUGGUUGUAAUAAGCCUGGAUAGCAGCAGCCUAUUUCUAUUCAAUAUACCUAAUAAUUGUAAAGCAUGAUUUAUAAAAUACUGUUGUGGUGAUCCUCUCUGUGUGUGAAGUUUAGAUUUAUAAAAGAUAGAGGAUGAAGUUAUAUCUACAUUUCUCCAGCUGAUAUCAUCACAAGCUAGGUGCUUAUUUGACCAGUCAAUUUUACUACAUUACUGCAUUUUUUCCCCUUUUAAACUUUUAGUAUAAGUACAUAUAAGUUAGAGGAACAUCUUAACAUUUUUCAUUUCAUGCUCUCUGUAAUCUUUGCCUUGCUAGGUUUGCUGGCUAAUGUUCUUAUCCUGUCCUGUGUGGUUUUUCCAUGUUCACCAGUGCUUUUUCCUAUGGUUAUACUUGCUGCUGUAAUGAUUGGUGUGCAUUCCUGUGUGAAAGACAAUCUAGAGUACAUAAAUAGCCAGAUACAACUUAUUAUAGUGGUGUCAUUGUUAUUUAACUGCAUUAAACUCACCCAAGCUCUUGGUGUGUAUUAAUACAUGUAGAUAGGACAAAUAUCAUUGUUAUUAAGUGGAAACUCGAAGGAGUUAAGAGAAGGAACCGGGCACUCAUUGUGAAUCUAUCUUGUUUGUAAUGCUAUGCAGGGAGUUCAUACACCGGGUGGUAACAGGUUACUUACCAAGUGUGAUUCUAAUCUUAUUUCUGUAUGCUGUUCCACCAACCAUGAUGUUGUUUCCUGCAAUGGAGGGAAAUAUUUCACGUACUCAGAGGAAACGGAGUGCUAGCAUCAAAGUUCUGUACAAUAUGGGCAUUCCAUAUUUUACCCUCAAAUUAGAAUCUUAGCAUCCAUUGCACGCUAAACUGAUCAAUUGAAACUAUGUUUGCUUUUAUAAUUCUAAUAAUUCUAAGUAUUUUGUUUUAUAUUCUCAAACAUUUAAUCUAAAGGGAGAUGAAAUAGUUAGUUCGAUCCAUUGUUAAUUGAACUAUAAUUAACUAAACAGUUAGUUGAAUUGAGCUUUUUUUCUGUUAAAAUAAUUAACCGAAUCGAACUAACUUCAAUUAAUUUUGUCGACUUUCUAUUGAAUUGUUGUUUAUAUAACUUUUUUUUCUUUUGGUCCAAAGUUCAUACCAUUUUGAAACAAUUAUUGGCAAACAUUACACUAAAAUAGUAGUGUGCAUUAAAUCGGAACAAAAAUAUGACAAACAAUGUGCAUUGCCAUAUAUUAGAACAAAAACAUUAUAACAUUACAAUGACAGUUGGAAUGAAAUUGAUAGGUGUUUAAUUCAUAUAUGUUUUAGAGUUAAAUUCACACUUAGUUUUAGGCUCUUUUUUAAGUGAAUUACUAAGUUUAAUAUUGGGUUUUAGUAAUUAGAUUUUAGAUUUUAGUUAGAUAGUAUUAUGUUUGUUUAAUUUUAGUGUUAAAGUAGCCCAUCAAAUAUCUAAUUACAAAUAUUUAAUUUUUAUAUUUAAAUAUUUAAAUAUAGUUUAUAUAUUCUAAUUAAAUUUUAUAAAUAAUUAAUAUUAAUUACUUAGAAAUAUUUAAAAUUAAUAUUAUAUAUUAAAAUAUUAACAAUAAGUUAUAAUAAAUUAUUUUUUUAUAUUUUUGCUAAAAUAUCAUAAUAUUAACUAAUUUGAACAUUAUUUAAAUACAUAUUUAUUACUUUAUAAUCUCAUGUCUAAAAUGGACAUUUUAUUCUUCAAAAAAACUUUUUGACAGCAAUGCCAAACACUCAAAUUUCUCAAAAGUACUUCUCAAAAGCACUUCUGAAAAGCACUUCUCAAAAGCAUUUCUCAAAAGCAAUGAAGAACUGGCCCUAAAUUGUGGAGUGAAGUUUGAAGGAGCUGAGGAAUUGAAACUGGUAGGAUAUUCAGACAGUGAUUGGGCUGGCUCAGCGGAUGACAUGAAGAGCACAUCAGGCUACUUCUUCACCCUUGGUUCAGGUGUUUUUUGCUGGAGCUUGAAGAAGCAACAGACAGUGGCUCAAUCCACUGCUGAGGCUGAGUAUAUUGCUGCUGCCUCUGCAAUAAAUCAAGCCAUUUGGCUUAGGAAAAUGUUGUGCGAUUUGAAUGCUGAUCAAAAGGAGGCCACAGUGAUCAAGGUUGACAAUCAAUCUGCUGUUGCCAUUGCUAAAAAUUUGGUUUUUCAUGGUAAGACCAAGCAUUUUAAAAUCAAAUAUCAUUUUGUGAGGGAGGCUGAAAUGUCCAAAGAGGUAAACUUGGUUCACUGUGCUCGAGAGAUCAACUUGCUGAUUUGUUAACCAAACCAUUACUUGCUUCAAGAUUUGAAUAUUUGAAGGAUAAGAUCCGGGUUUGCUACGUUGUAGCCAAGGAGGAGUGUUCAAAGGUGGCAACAACAGCAGCUACAUGCAAGAAACCAUGCAAAGUGCACGUUGCAUGAAGAGAACCAAAAAUCCAGCCAAUGCAUGCUAGUGUCCAUGGUGUAAUUCGACAGCAACAUGUUUUAUUUUGUUGACUUUUGAUAGUUAAUGCUGUAAUCAUUUUAUGCUUUAGUCAUUUAAGAUUAAUUGUGUGCUUAGCUGAUUUUGUAGCCAUUUUACGUUAUCAUUAAGUUGAUUUAAACCUUUAGACACUUGCACAAGCAAGUUUUGUUUUCUUUCUAUGUAUUUUUGAUCUAUUUAUGUAUGCAACUAUGCUCUUAUUCGGGUAAUGAGAAAAUCACUUGGAUCAUUCAACUUUCUCUUGUUUUUUGCUUCUGUUUUAAUCUUAAAACACCUCAACAAUCGAUUUUAGUUAUUUUUAAACUUUGUUGCUCAGUUAAAAACCAACACCAUCUUCUGUUACAACAGACUUUGUUUUAGCAGUUGCUUCAUCUUUAGGCAAUUCUUCUAGAGACUUUGAGGAGUCAUCAAUAAUUACAUUUAUAGACUCUAUCAAAAUCCUAGUUCAUUUAUUAUAGACCUAGUAUGCUUGACUGUUUGGUGAGUAUCCUACAAAUACACCAUUUUCGCUUCGAGGGUCAAACUUUCAUUUGGCUUCUCGAUCUCUUAGAAUAUAACAUGGACUACAAAAAUUUUGAAAAUAAGCAACCAUCAACUUCCUUUGUUUCCAGAUCUUAUAGGGACUCAUUCUUGUUAGUGGUCUUAAGAAUACCCGAUUACUAACAUAACAUGCAAUAAUAAAGACCUUGGCCCAUAACUUAUGUAAAAUAUUUUUGACAUUAAGCGUCACCCUUGUCAUCUCUUAUAAUGUUUGGCUCGACAAUCUUAUUUUUCUGAGGCAUCUUAAGGGCUGAAAAUUCAUGCAAGAUCCCUUCUUGAUCACAGAAGUCUUUAAACUCAUAAUUCUUAAACUACUUUUCGUGGUCACUUCAAAUUCGAAUGAUCUUCCCAAUGUUCUCACAUUUUUUCAUUUAUGAGCUUUAUACACAGACUCUUAAACACCUUGAAAGUUUUAUACUUUUCUUUUAGAAAGUUAACCUAAGUGAAACAAGAAAUGUCAUCAACACAAACAAAAACAUACAUCUUUCCUCCUAGGAUCUCUAGUUGCAUAGAACCAAUAAGAUCUAUUUGGAGCAACUCUAAUAAUCUUGUGGUAGUGAUCCAUCAUAAUGAAGGAUGGGACGAGCAAUGCUUUUUUUCCGUUUAAGCAAUUUCACAAGGUUUUGUAAUAACUCCUACAAGUUUUUGUAAUCCUUAAUAGCUCUAUGUUGCACAACCCUUUGAAGACUUUUGUAGCUUGCAUGCCCUAGCCGUUGAUGCCAUAGAUAAAGCUCAUUCAUUGAUUUCACAAUACAUUUUUCUUCCUUUACGAGACGAUAACAAUUAUCAAAUGACCAAGCUCCUUUUAGUAUGCAUUCACCGCUUGUGUUUUAGGCCUCGCAACAAUUCUUGGUAAAACCUACUAGAAUUCCCUCAUCACACAGUUGACUUAUGUUGAUUAGAUUUGCAAAAAGUCCUUCCACAAGAUGAACAUUAUUGGGCUUUGGUAAUCCUUCAACAUCUAAGACCCAUUUUCCAGUUACUCUUCCCUUUUGACCAUCUCCAAAGGUUACUCUCCCUAUAUCUCACCUUUUUGAACUUCUUUCAAGCAUUUUUAGUUUCCUAACGCGUGUCUCGAGCACCCUCUGUCAAAGUACCAAAUCUCCUCAGUUGUGGCUUUUAAAGAAGUAUGAGCAAUCAAAAGGCUUCUUUCCUUGAAAACCCAGACUUACUUCACUUGUUGUACCUUCCUGUUUCUUGGACGAACAUUGUUGCCACCAAGUUUGUACUUCUUGAAGUCCUUUAGCAACUUGUAACAGAAAGGUCUUAUAUGACCCUCCUUACCGCGAUAAUGAUAGACAAAAAUCCUCUUCUUUUUAUGUUCUUCCUUUGUUCCUGAGGCAUCACAUUCAUUAACUUUAACAAAUAUAUAAGAUAGUUUAGUGUUCAUACCCUUGUUUAUCUAUGACCAAUUUUUCUUGGCAAAAUGUUUUAGAGUCUUGAUGAAAUUCUUUUUUAAAUACUUUUUUUUUGAAUAGGAGGAUCAUAUUAUACUAAUUUAAGUAAAAUGAAAUUAUUUUAUACUAAUUUUUUAUAUUAUUAACAUUUUAACUACACAGAUUAAUAUCAUAGCUAAAGUUAUUUGGUCGGACAGAUAUAAUUAGUUUUUGCUUCACAAGAAGCAUGGAUAAAGAUUGAAAUAAGGAAUUAAAUGGUUUAAUUUGAAAACAAUUAGGGUUUCAUGAGAAUUAAUCAAUUAUUUCUUGCUUUUCAAUAUAAACAUGUCCAUAUAUUAAGUUACUCAAAUCCGAAAUUCCAUCUAUUAUUUCAAAAUGUACAGACAAAAUUAGAGCCUAAAAAUAAGCUUCACAUAAAAAUUCAGCCCUUUAAACAUGAUGUUGGACUUGAAUUCUAAAGGCUUAAAUCUAGCUUAGUUGGACACAUUUUUAGAUUAAUAAUAUAUAAAUUUUUAUUUUUAUAUAUUACGUAAUUUAUAUUAUUUAAAAAUUAAAUAUAUAAUUUUACAAUGCAAAUAUUAAAAAAAUUAUUAAAUUAUCGAUGUUUAAAAUUUUAAUAAAAGGAAAAAUUACUAAAUACUAAAUAAAAAUAAAAAAUGAGAAAAAAAUUUAUAUGUACGGGUUAAAAUAAAAUUGAAUUAAUUAUUUAUAAAUACGAAUAGACUUUAACAAAAUUUAAGACUCAUGUCUUUGAUCGGGCCAAGGUUAAGCAAAUAUAUAUGGCAUUGAUAUCAACCCUUCCUUAAUUCUAUAACAUAUUAGGGGUUUUUUUAUAUGUUACAAAAUCUAUAUCAUUUGAAAAUAAAUUAUACAAGUCAUAAUGAUAAAUUUAACCCUCAAUGUAUUUUUUUGUCAAUUUAUCUAUUAUAAACAAUCAAAUCGGAUUUUAACAUGUAGCAACACUCAUGGUAAUUCACAUACAACACUAUUUGUCUUAUUCGUACAUCAACAAAUAAUUUAAAAUUUGUAAAAAUAUUAAAAAUAAAAUAAAUUCAAAUUUAAAAAAAACAUAAAAUACAUUUGGAGUCUACCAUGUUUAUUUAGUCAAUAUUUCUACUAAAAAAAUAAUUCAAUUCUUUUUGAAAGGUUCAAAGUCAAAUUGAACUAUUUUUAAAAAGUCAAAUUGAACUAUUUUUAAAAAGUUGAGAAUUUAACUUUAAAAAAUUAAAAGUCAAAUUAACAAAAAAAUGUAAACAUUAAUACCUCAUUUAAUUACUAGUAUAAUAAUAUAAGGAAAAAACUUAUUUAUCACAUAUGUAUACAAUAUUUAGACCAAAAAUAAAAAAAUAUUUAGCACAAAUUUAAACUUGAAAUUAAAAAAAAUGACUAAAAAAUCUUGUAAAAAAUAAAAUGACUAAAUAUUACUAAUUGAAUUAGUUUAUUGUUAAUCAAUAAACUAAAACAUGUAAAAAAUAAUACUCCUACCAAACUAAUAUAAGAGCUUAAUCUAUCAUUAUGUCAAUAUAUAACACUACAACGUAACUAUUAAAAAAAUGUAUGAAGUAAAACAUGUGCAUUUUGAAAGAAGAAAAAAAAACCAUAUGCACCAACCUAAAUGAAAUUGGAUUAGUGUAAAAAAAAUUAAAACUCAAUCAUCCUACAAACAUCUCUAGGCAGGCAGAAGGGUUGUAAGGCCUAAAAGUAAUGAACAUAAAAUUGUCAGUUGUCAUCCAAAAUGAAUUGCAAUGUUUUGUUGGAUUUAUCUCAACAUGUUUCAAAAACAAUAAUUCAAUUGUUGCUCAUGUAAGCUAUGCCAACCCCAAAAUUCAUAAAAGGUGUUUUUACCUAAACCAGCAACCCCCCGAAAAUCCGACAGCUCGGAAGCCAUUAGCAGGCUGUUGGGAGACAGUGGAGACAUUGCCUCACUUGUAAAGAAACUGAACCGGUGUCUGUUACACCAACGAUGUAGGAAGAACUACGAGCGCAUAUGGAGAUUUGGCCUCAUUUCUUGAUUAAUCUCAA